ACAAGUGUGAUGACUGGCAGGGCAGUGGAGUCUAGCCAGACCCUGCAAAAAUUAUGUCUGACUGUGCCUGGGUACCUGCUGCCUCAGCUGGAGGAAGAAAAUGACUUCAGGCUUUAAUCUGCCUUCUGAAUCUUCGGUACAAAGAUUGCCAUUGAUGGGACUUAGUCGCUUGCAUGUCUUGGCUACUGUGAACAAUGCUGCAAUGAACUUGGGGGUGCAGAUAUCUUUUCAAGUUAGCGUUUUCGUUUCCUUCAGAGAAGUGCCCAGAGGUGGAGCUGCUGGAUCGACUGAAUGGCGCUGAGCACCGUGGUAGCUGCUGAGGACACAGAAUAACAGCAGGAGCAGCAACAACAACAACAAUAAUGCCCGCUCUUAGUGCCAUAAGGAAGAUUCUUCUGAAGACAUGAAUGAAGCAAUUGUGCACUUGGUGUAGAAAAGAUUCCAGAUAGAGGAGAUGUUUUCAAUGGCAAUAACCCUGAGAUGAAGUAUUUCACCGAAUCAACAGAGUUAUCGGCGCCGGCUUCCCUUUGAUGGUCCUGUGAGCACCUGUAAGCCUCCGAAGCUGUUCUUGGCAUGGAUGGACCAUGUCUGAAAGCUUUUAUUCUCUUCUUCUCUUCUUCACCCCUCCUACCUCCUGGGGGGGGGGAAUUCCUAACUCAAAUCCUUGGACAACAAAGGCAGCUAACGGAAUCCCAGAAUCCCGGUAGGUGAGGUCCCAAAGCAGAAAAACCGCUUCCAUGUAACUCCACAGAUGACCCUCCUGCCUCAGCACUGGCUUCAGAAACAUCUGAUGACCGGAUUAAGAGGGGCCUCUGAGGAGUCUGGAGGGCUUUGUGGGGAGAAGGGCCCCGUCACCUGUUUAUCAGAGUUUAAGAGGAUAGGUGAGGGCUGGCUGAGGGCAGAGAUGGACUUGCAGAAGGUUUGCUUGGUGAAGACUAGAUUUUUAAAAAUCCUCUUCUGGAAGCUGGCUGUGAGGGUGGCCGGGCCAGAGCGGGGGAGAGCCCCAGGCUUCUCAACCCUGGAGGGCAGGCCCAUUUGAUGCUGAGGAGAACCAUAUAGCACUGAGCAUGAAGCAGAAAGAAUGGGGUGUGGCUGGGGAUGGAGGGUGAGAUUUGGGGUUUGGAGGAGGGGACAGUGCUGGUCUGGAGAUUUCAGGGGAGGUGAUUCCCUUCUCUUCUAAAGACUUAGAAUCCUCUUCUAUCUUGGCCUUAGAAUUCGUAAGAAGGUACCCUCAAACCGAAUAUUCUGGAUGUGCCAGGGAUUGCCUGGGGAGUGCUGAGAAAGGGGAAGGCUUGGCAGUGCAGAGGAGCCCCCAGGUGCCAAGCUCCCCUAGGUGGCACCUUGGCCUGUGGUAGUGUCAGCCAGGCCAGUGUCCUUUUACUGACACCACAGCCAGGCCGGGCAACGUGGUGG